CAGUAUCACAUACCUCAGAAGACCAAGAAGAACAUACAGAUCUACUUGGAUAAGUUUGUGAAGUAUGGCAUCCUAAAAUUCUGUACCUCCCCUUGGAACACUCCAUUAUUACCUGUUCAAAAACCAGGAUCAGAUGAGUAUCCUCCUGUACAAGAUUUAAGAGCAGUUAAUGAUGCAGUAGUUAAUAUACACCCAGUGGUACCCAACCCCUAUAAUCUGCUUGCUCU